rnacentral:rRNA from 1 species
AACGAACGCUGGCGGCAUGCCUAACACAUGCAAGUCGAACGGGAUCUAUAGGUUCGCUUAUAGAUUUAGUGGCGAACGGGUGAGUAACGCGUGGGAAUCUACCCUCAAGUGUGGAAUAACUUUUAGAAAUGGAAGCUAAUACCGCAUAAUCCCUAAGGGGCAAAGGCUUGCCGCUUGAGGAGGAGCCCGCGUCAGAUUAGGUAGUUGGUGGGAUAAAGGCCUACCAAGCCAACGAUCUGUAGCUGGUCUGAGAGGACGAGCAGCCACACUGGGACUGAGACACGGCCCAGACUCCUACGGGAGGCAGCAGUGGGGAAUAUUGGACAAUGGGGGAAACCCUGAUCCAGCAAUGCCGCGUGAGUGAUGAAGGCCU